rnacentral:rRNA from 1 species
UCCUUUGAAGAUUACUUGACGUCUUCCACAAUAGUUGUUUUAUAGGUUUUUCUGUAACACUCCGAAAUUAGGCUACCUGACAGUUUGUCUCAGUUAAAGUGCCAAUUUUGUAAGUGUUCCUCUAAAUAAUUUACCUUAACCUUUACUUUUCCCACACCUUACGGUUUCACUAUAGAUACAAACAAUAUUCGAAGGGACACCUCCAAGUGACCUUGAAUUACAUUAAUCACCCAAGAAGACUUCCUAUUAAAGGAAGAGUAUGAUAACGACCUUACUAGUUUUAUACACGAGAGUCUCAGUAACAAGAAUUCAUGGUCGUACUUAUACUGUCACGCCACGUUAUGCCACGACUAGCUACCACCAGCCGCUCCGCCGCCCUCCGCGACGGCGGCUGACUAUGCCACCGUCCGUCUAUUUUACUAACUACCGACUCUACCGCCGACUACCACCCGUACCACCACCCUUAGUGGGUAACGCGACCUGUAGAAGUUACAGAGACCCAAGUACGAUGCAGCUAAACAUCUCGAGUAACGACCACCUCACUUCCGCCUGUUCCCGAAAUUCCUCCACGUGGAUUUAGUCCACCGAUUCUUAACAUCACUGGUGAAACCAGAAAGGUAUUGGUCCUGGGUUCACAUGUUGGUAGAGGCGUUCACCGCACGAUCCACUCACCUCUAUUCAUUCGAGGCUCUGUAAUCGCCCAGUGAAACCCUACUAUGGUUGAUACAGUAUAGCGACCUCCUUCUCGUGAUGGACCCAGUAUAGUUCCUGGUAGGGUUUCUACAACUCAUGGAGUUACACGGAAAUCCCUUAAUACAAAUCUACGAACGAUAGAGAGCCUCACCAUAACGAUGUCCUUCCAUACGUUAUUACUGUAGAGUAGUCCGAGAACCCCAAGGAAGUUACCAUCUUCGGAGGGGUAGUAAACAUUUGGAGCUUCCAACACCAAGACUUAAACAACUACCCUUACUUGGACCGAGCUCACGAUGGCAACAACGAGUACCCCUUCUACGACAACGACGACGAGUACCCUUACUUGGUAUAUUCCUACGAAGAUCGAGGUGACCGUUUUCCUUCUCCCGAUCGAACUACUCACUUAUUCAAAACCAGUACUCGUUGUACAGGCUACGUCAGGCACUUCAACGAUAACGGUAGUUCAGGUAACCUCUCCGUGUAGGACUUGAAAUGUUAAGAUAGUACCUCGAGGGACCAAAAUGGCUCCUACUAGAUAACUAACAGAACCUAAUAGAGUUACUCUUGCGGUUGUCCCGAUCCUCGGUGAGUAAACACGUCUAUAGCCUCUGAGCAGCGUAAGCAACCCAGUAAGUGGUGGAGAGGUUCAAGUCACCACCUCACAAGCACGGGUUCCUACCUCACACUUGUUUAUACACGAUUAAGUGUGGUUCGACUGGUAUAAAAUAACAUAAACCAGUCUUUUUGGUACGGGGAUAUAUACACUACAUACCUUACAUUGUACCUGGAAUACAAUACAAAGAAACAACCUGACAUUAUACCUGUUAUACCUAAAGACCGAUAGAUUAUACGCUUGAGAUCCUACAUGACCUGACAUUAUACUGG